AGUGAACGCUGGCGGUAGGCCUAACACAUGCAAGUCGAACGGCAGCACAGUAAGAGCUUGCUCUUACGGGUGGCGAGUGGCGGACGGGUGAGGAAUACAUCGGAAUCUACUUUUUCGUGGGGGAUAACGUAGGGAAACUUACGCUAAUACCGCAUACGACCUACGGGUGAAAGCAGGGGAUCUUCGGACCUUGCGCGAUUCAAUGAGCCGAUGUCGGAUUAGCUAGUUGGCGGGGUAAAGGCCCACCAAGGCGACGAUCCGUAGCUGGUCUGAGAGGAUGAUCAGCCACACUGGAACUGAGACACGGUCCAGACUCCUACGGGAGGCAGCAGUGGGGAAUAUUGGACAAAGGGCGCAAGCCUGAUCCAGCCAUACCGCGUGGGUAAAGAAGGCCUUCGGGUUGUAAAGCCCUUUUGUUGGGAAAGAAAAGCAGCAGGUUAAUACCCCGCUGUUCUGACGGUACCCAAAGAAUAAGCACCGGCUAACUUCGUG
rnacentral:rRNA from 1 species